CGGUGGUAAGUUUUUGAACCUAUUCUUUAUUUCAGGUUUUAGAAAAGUCGAAACCUCUAAAGGUUUAGGGAGGCUAUCAAUUUGGGCUCUGUGGCUCUAAGGGUUGUGACAACUGUUUUAUUGUGAUAAUAGUGUGAUUUAGAGACUACUGAUCGAAGGCUUGGACAAGUGGAACGACUGGAUCUAAACCUAGUCGCUAAUUUCG
rnacentral:lncRNA from 1 species